GACGAACGCUGGCGGCGUGCCUAAGACAUGCAAGUCGAGCGAGGAGACUUCGGUCUCCUAGCGGCGGACGGGUGAGUAACGCGUGGGCAACCUGCCCUUCAGCCCGGGAUAACCACCGGAAACGGCGGCUAAUACCGGAUGCGGUGAUGAGGUCGCAUGGCCUGAUCACGAAAGUUACGGCGCUGAAGGAUGGGCCCGCGUCCCAUUAGCUAGUUGGUGAGGUGACGGCUCACCAAGGCGACGAUGGGUAGCCGGCCUGAGAGGGUGGACGGCCACACUGGGACUGAGACACGGCCCAGACUCCUACGGGAGGCAGCAGUCGGGAAUCUUCCACAAUGGGCGAAAGCCUGAUGGAGCGACGCCGCGUGAGGGAAGAAGGUCUUCGGAUCGUAAACCUCUGUCCUCAGGGACGAUAAUGACGGUACCUGAGGAGGAAGCCACGGCUAACUACGUG
rnacentral:rRNA from 1 species